rnacentral:rRNA from 1 species
GUCGAGCGGAAACGAUCCUAGCCUUGCUAGGAGGCGUCGAGCGGCGGACGGGUGAGUAAUGCAUAGGAAUCUGCCCGGUAGUGGGGGAUAACUUGAGGAAACUCAAGCUAAUACCGCAUACGCCCUACGGGGGAAAGCAGGGGCUCUUCGGACCUUGCGCUAUCGGAUGAGCUUAUGUCGGAUUAGCUGGUUGGUGAGGUAACGGCUCACCAAGGCGACGAUCCGUAGCUGGUCUGAGAGGAUGAUCAGCCACAUCGGGACUGAGACACGGCCCGAACUCCUACGGGAGGCAGCAGUGGGGAAUAUUGGACAAUGGGGGCAACCCUGAUCCAGCCAUGCCGCGUGUGUGAAGAAGGCCCUCGGGUUGUAAAGCACUUUCAGCGAGGAAGAAUGCUUGUCGGUUAAUACCCGGCAAGGGAGACAUCACUCGCAGAAGAAGCACCGGCUAACUCCGUGCCAGCAGCCGCGGUAAUACGGAGGGUGCGAGCGUUAAUCGGAAUUACUGGGCGUAAAGCGUGCGUAGGCGGCUUGAUAAGCCGGUUGUGAAAGCCCCGGGCUCAACCUGGGAACGGCAUCCGGAACUGUUAGGCUAGAGUGCAGGAGAGGAAGGUAGAAUUCCCGGUGUAGCGGUGAAAUGCGUAGAGAUCGGGAGGAAUACCAGUGGCGAAGGCGGCCUUCUGGACUGACACUGACGCUGAGGUACGAAAGCGUGGGUAGCAAACAGGAUUAGAUACCCUGGUAGUCCACGCCGUAAACGAUGUCGACUAGCCCGUUGGGGUCCUCGAGACCUUUGUGGCGCAGUUAACGCACUAAGUCGACCGCCUGGGGAGUACGGCCGCAGGGUUAAAACUCAAAUGAAUUGACGGGGGCCCGCACAAGCGGUGAGCAUGUGGUUUAAUUCGAUGCA